CCAAAAGAUAAAAAAGGGUAGCAAACGAGAGAGGCACAGUACCAUUCCAUGGCUAGUUUCACUUCACUUUUCUUAUCAAAUCCUCUUCAUUUUCCCACUACAAAACUUGCUACCAGUCAAACUUUUUCCUCUUCUUCUCUUUCACCAGAUUACAUUCACUUCAAAUCAACUAAUGACAAGAGAGAAUUGAUACUUCCAAGAGUGGCUUCAAUCCCAUACAAUCCUAUCAACGUGGAUUACUUGGAGGAAGAGUUCAGUGGCCAUGGAGUCACCUUCCAAGGCAUUGGGGACAGCUGUGUUGCUAAUAUGGCUCUGGAGAAUGGAAGCACAGCCAUUCUGAUGCUGCCAAGUGGCUUAAUCACCUCUUACAAGGCUGCCAUGUGGCAUGGAGGCACGGACGAGAUGCUGCACUCUUCUGUAUUCGAGGAGGAAAAGGGCCCUGCUUCUAUUCAGGGAGGGGUUUCUUUAGUCUUGGACUUCACCACUGGGGAAGGUCAUUCUUGGUCUCCAACUAACUGGGCACUUCAGAAUAUUAGUGGGGAUUCUCAGCAGUCCAUUCAGGUAGAACUUAUCAGCAGUGAUUCAGGGGCCAUGGUUGAAGUAAAACACAUUGUGACUCUUAAAGAGGAUGAAUUAAGCUCAGAACUUGUGAUAUCAAACUCUAGCUCUGCCCCAGUUCAAUUGACUGGGUGUGUUCUGAGCCAUCUGAGGGUGAGCUCCCCUGAUGCAACUUAUGCAAUCGGAUUAGAAGGAUCGGAUUUCUUCUGCCGGCCUCCAUUUUCAUCAAACUUUGGAAUUAUUCCUCCUGACUUUGGCCAGAAAAUGGGAUUUGGUUUUGGCCAAAUGUUGAAUCAAAUUGCCUUCUGGCGUCCAAAUAAUAAUCAAAGUAAUGGUGAUCAAACAAAGAGCAACCAAGGUGAUUCUGAAGAAGAAUUGGAGGGUGAAGAAACUGACAAUUACAAACAUUUAAGAGAAGAGAUGAGUCAAAUCUACACUAGCGCUCCACGGAACAUGACAAUUAUCGAUCGGGUACUUAUUUAAAAUCUAAACUCCAUAUUCUCAUAUCAAGUUGAAUAUUCAAAUAUCAUGGUAGGUGCACGUAAAUAGCUUUGUUUGACAACUAUUCUGUUUUUGCUGCAUAUUGGUUGUUCAUUUUAAUUCUCAUUCCAAGUCAAUGGGGGCAUUUCAGUGUGACUGCUGAGCACCACUUUCCCCUCUAGAGUGGAGUUCAGUUUUGAUAUGGGUAGAAGAAAUUCAGUGAUAGUUGGAAGAAAAGGAUUUGAAGAACUGUACUUGUUAAGUCCCGGUUCAAGUCAUGAACUAUAUGCCAAGUACUCUUAUAUAUGUGUUGGCCAGUCAGCCAUGCUUAAGCCGAUAGUUGUGGAAGCUGAAAAAGUGUUAAGGCUUGGACAGGAUUUGUACAAUCCAAAUCUCUAAGUCAUGCCUCAAAGAUCAUUUUAACAUAUCA